rnacentral:lncRNA from 1 species
AACGGCUGAACACCGGUUUAAGAGCCAAACGGUUGGAUGAGUCCAACCGGAGAGGCGACCGGUCGACGGGUUUUUAAAACAUUGCUAUACCAAAGCAAAAAACCGAAGCCAUGGCUAUUUCUACUUUUUCCUCCCGGGAACAAGGGAAGGGGUCGGGGUCGUUGAAAGGAUGAAUAAGUGGACCACCACCAAUGGUUCCAUGAUGGCCUUUUCUCUUAUGUUGUUCCCGUUUGAGCACCAAACAUCAUAAUGAAAACAUUACUUCUUAGCUGCA